rnacentral:rRNA from 1 species
AACGUAGGAGACAAACGUUAUCCGGAGUUACUGGGCGUAAAGGGUGCGUAGGCGGUCGUGUAAGUCGGAUGUGAAAUCCCGGGGCUCAACCCCGGAACUGCAUUCGAUACUGCAUGGCUAGGGUACUGGAGGGGAAACUGGAAUUUACGGUGUAGCAGUUGAAAUGCGUAGAUAUCGUAAGGAAGACCAGUGGCGAAGGCGAGUUUCUGGACAGUUACCGACGCUGAGGCACGAAGGCCAGGGGGAGCAAAACGGGG